AAUUCAUGGUGUGGACAUAUGUUCAUUAGGUCCUUGAAUCUCUCCCAGAAAGCCUAGAAUGUUUCGUCACCUUUUUGCAAGAACUGACUAAUCUGCUCCUGCAGGU